UUUUCAGCGGGAAGCGGGGGCGUUCCUCGCAGCGCGGCGCGGCUCGGAGCUGUCGAGCUGUCGGUGCGCCGCGAGGAAAAGCUUUGGGGCGGCGCGGUGCUGCGGGCAUUUGCGGCGCGUGAUGGGGAGAGGUUUCCUUUACCGAGGGUCACGAGGGCGCGCGUGUAAUGUAAACGUUUGAGCUGCGGGGACACAAAGGUGUGUCCGUGUGUGUGCGGCACAGAGCCGAGCUCCUCGGUCAGCUGAAGUCCCGGGCUGUGCUGCAGGGAAACCAAAUCCGUGUGAUACCGCUGAGGAUAACGACACACCAGGUAAAGCUGACAGCUAACAGUGGAUACCCGCUGCUGUCUCACAGUCACGUUCUCAAUGAAUUUCAGGAGCAGGAAACGCCUCCUGGCCGGCUGGCUCAGCUGCCGCCACGGCUUAAAAAGCAAACAAAUGUCCCUGGCAAGAAGAAUUGGCACCGAGCAAAGCAAAAAGGACUGAAAAUGAGAAAAGGAUGGGCGAGUUAUAUCAGCACCCUCAAGGCCAAUUUACUCUUGGGUAUUGUUGGAGUGUGACAGCAGGAUCCUGGCUUUCAGUGAACCAGGUGAGACCAGCAGUGAAAACCAAUGACCACCCUGGCUGGAAAGGGACCAGAGAAGAAUCACACCUGGAGAAAGAGAUCCCAGCCAGCUUUCCAAAGGACAGGAGACACGGAGCUGGUGACAGCCCCUCCUUUAUCCAUGAGCAGUAAUUCAGCUCACAGAAACUCCGGAGCCAAAUGUUUGGAGCAAACAUAACUCUACACAUGCUCUCACUGUGAGAAGAGCUGGAAGAACCAGUAAAAAGGGGAAAGAACCCCGGCUGAUACUGCAGGGAGCGGGAGGACGCAGCCAGCAAGUGAACGCACUUCACAGAGUGCAAAUUAAAGCACAGAGAAUGGAGCCCAGGACAG
rnacentral:lncRNA from 1 species